rnacentral:lncRNA from 1 species
CGGGGAACUGUUUCCCUCCCCAAAAGGCUAGCUUCUCCAACGUCCGUAAAGUUCAGUGCAUGGCCACUUAGUCCAACUUCCCUCUCACUGCAGACAUCUUUCUGAUGCAGUCAACCACCCUGCACCUCCGUGUGUGUCUCCAGCCUUGUGGUCCUUCAAAGAGCUGAAGGUGUUCAGGAAAACUUACGGGAGGCCAUUGAUUUGGACUAAGCCCCUGCACUAGGCUCCAG